rnacentral:lncRNA from 1 species
UACCCUUUUAUGGUGCAAUGGGCAUCGCCCUCAAACUACACACCUCUUUAUUCAAAGGGAAAACCCGAUGAGUUGGAGUACAUGGUUCAGAGAAUGAAGACCGUGUCCUUGAAACAUAAAGAAGCAAAGGUGCCAAACGAAAGCAGAAUCAUGGUGUGGAAGUAGUCUUUAUUAUUUUAUCUGUGAUUUUAUUUCUGGAUGUUAGAAAAUUAGUCUUCAAUAUUAGUGAGAUGAAUAUGUGAAAUAGGUAUCUAAAAAGAUAAAGCCAGUUUAAGAUAUAUGUUUUUGUUAAUUCUUGGCUAUUUGUAUUGUUUUCUUAUAAUUUUAAUUGGUUCUAAUUUUCAAGUCCACGUAUCACAUAGAUAUCUUAGAAAAUGAAGCCAUUUUGAGAUAUAUGUUUUUGUUAAUUCUUGGCUAUUUGUAUUGCNACAAAAGCACUGACAAUAAAAGAGCCAUAAGACUACACAGGCUACAACAGGACAGCACAAUAACUCAGAGAGCUUACAUAUUAAAAUAUAAAAUUAUGAAGUUCAUAAUCAAGUCUAGCAGCUAAUGAAUAUGGCAUUUGUACUCAAUUUGCUAUGCAUCUCCACCCUGAUUUGCUUGAUUGAACUGGCAGACAUAAGACAUCUGAUUGCUGACGCUUAAAUUGUAAUACAGGUACCCUUUUAUGGUGCAAUGGGCAUCGCCCUCAAACUACACACCUCUUUAUUCAAAGGGAAAACCAGAUGAGUUGGAGUACAUGGUUCAGAGAAUGAAGACCGUGUCCUUGAAACAUAAAGAAGCAAAGGUGCCAAACGAAAGCAGAAUCAUGGUGUGGAAGUAGUCUUUAUUAUUUUAUCUGUGAUUUUAUUUCUGGAUGUUAGAAAAUUAGUCUUCAAUAUUAGUGAGAUGAAUAUGUGAAAUAGGUAUCUAAAAAGAUAAAGCCAGUUUAAGAUAUAUGUUUUUGUUAAUUCUUGGCUAUUUGUAUUGUUUUCUUAUAAUUUUAAUUGGUUCUAAUUUUCAA